AUUAUUUUAAGAUUAUUUUUUAUUGUUGAAAAAAUUAAAAAUAAAUUGUUUUUAACAAAAAUUAAAAUUUAUAAUAUUUCAUUUUUUGGUUUUUUGUUUUAAAUUAAAAUAAUAAAUAUGGGGGAAAAAAAAAUUUUGUUAUAAAUUAUAUUAGUUUAUUUUAAUUAAAAAUAUUUUUUAUUAAAUUUGUUUUUUUUAUUUUUUUAUAAAAAAUAUUAAUUUAAUUAUUAUUAUUGAGUUUAAUUUAGUUAUUUUUAAAAAAAUUUUGUAUAAAAUAAAUUUGAUAAUAAAUGUUUUUUAAAUUCUUUGGGGGUUUAGUUUAUGAUUUUUUGUUUCUGCUCAUUGUUAAAUAAAAGCACUUUUAGCGUGAUUG
rnacentral:rRNA from 1 species